GACGAACGCUGGCGGCGUGCUUAACACAUGCAAGUCGAGCGGUAAGGCCCUUUCGGGGGUACACGAGCGGCGAACGGGUGAGUAACACGUGGGUGACCUGCCCUCAGCUCUGGGAUAAGCCUGGGAAACCGGGUCUAAUACUGGAUAUGACUCCAUGACGCAUGUUGUGGGGUGGAAAGCCUUGUGCGGCUGAGGAUGGGCCCGCGGCCUAUCAGCUUGUUGGUGGGGUGANGGGCCUACCAAGGCGACGACGGGUAGCCGGCCUGAGAGGGCGACCGGCCACACUGGGACUGAGACACGGCCCAGACUCCUACGGGAGGCAGCAGUGGGGAAUCUUGCGCAAUGGGCGAAAGCCUGACGCAGCGACGCCGCGUGAGGGAUGACGGCCUCGGUGUAA
rnacentral:rRNA from 1 species